AGAGUUUGAUCAUGGCUCAGAAUCAACGCUGGCGGCGUGCCUAACACAUGCAAGUCGAGCGAGAAAAGGGGGGCAACUCCCUGAGUACAGCGGCGCACGGGUGAGUAACACGUGGGUAAUCUGCCCUGAAGUGGGGAAUAACACCGGGAAACCGGUGCUAAUACCGCAUAUGAUCACGGUGUCUGCGGACACAGGGAUGAAAGGAGCAAUUCGCUUCGGGAGGAGCCCGCGGCUGAUUAGCUAGUUGGUGAGGUAAUGGCUCACCAAGGCUACGAUCAGUAUCCGGUCUGAGAGGACGGUCGGACACACUGGAACUGAGACACGGUCCAGACUCCUACGGGAGGCAGCAGUGGGGAAUUUUUCGCAAUGGGGGCAACCCUGACGAAGCAACGCCGCGUGGAUGAUGAAGUAUCUCGGUACGUAAAAUCCUUUCGACAGGGAAGAAACCGCAAGGUUGACGGUACCUGUAGAAGAAGCCCCGGCUAACUCCGUGCCAGCAGCCGCGGUAAUACGGGGGGGGCUAGCGUUGUUCGGAAUUACUGGGCGUAAAGGGCGCGUAGGCGGUCUGCUAAGUUGGAUGUGAAAACUCUGGGCUUAACCCAGAGCCUGCAUUCAAUACUGACAGGCUAGAGUUCUGGAGGGGAUAGCGGAAUUCCUGGUGUAGCGGUGAAAUGCGUAGAUAUCAUGAGGAACACCGGUGGCGAACGCGGCUAUCUGGACAGAGUCUGACGCUGAGGCGCGAAAGCUAGGGGAGCAAACAGGAUUAGAUACCCUGAUAGUCCUAGCCCUAAACGAUGGAUACUUGGUGUAACUGGGAUUGAAUCCAGUUGUGCCGAAGCUAACGCAUUAGCGUACCCCGUCUGGGGAGUACGGUCGGCAAGGACUGACACUCAGACGAUCGACGGGGGACCCGCACGGGCGGUGGCAGUAUGUGGUGUUAAUUUGGACGUCAACGUCGAGAACCUUUACCU
rnacentral:rRNA from 1 species